CGUCCUUUGACUAGGUCUUAUUAUCUCACGGUACCGUAUAUAUCAAUGAGAAUAUAUAGACUACAUAUCCUCUUGUCCUGCCCGUAUGUUAGUCGUUGGUCCUGCCGGAAUAAAAGGUGUCAGUAUGGAGCCAAAUCUGAAUGAGUCAGCCAGCUCAAGCAGCGUCAAACGCAAGUGCAGUUUCAAUUAUUUUGUGGCUUCUAGAGCUGCCGCAAAACCAUGACGGGAUUUUCAAACCAUGGCCGCUAUGACCAAACCGACUGACUUUUUAACUGGUACCGGUACAAGUUGCCGUGACGAGGCGCAGUUGUCUGUUCUCAUCACUUCAUGACAGCUCCUGCCACGAACGUAGCGCAGCGUCUCUUGCCAUGGUUUUAUCGCGUUAUUACCGAUUUAGCAACUACGAAGGCAACUGAAAAUGAUACUUAUAAACUGUCUCAUGUCAUCUCUUGUUUUGAAGUCUGUUUACCUUUACUAUGUACUACCGUUAUGUGAGAAUGUUUUCGAUUUGAUUAAUUUUUUCAAUACAUUUAUAUUUUAG